GGGGGCAUGGGUCAGUGGUAGAGUGCUUGCCUGGUGUGCAUGAGGUCCUGGGUUUAACUCCCAUACCACCA
rnacentral:tRNA from 1 species